rnacentral:rRNA from 1 species
CGCCUCCUGCAAUAUAAAGUAUAGGAGGUCCAGCCUGCCCAGUGACUACGGGUUCAACGGCCGCGGUAUAUUGACCGUGCAAAGGUAGCGCAAUCACUUGUCUCUUAAAUAGAGACCUGUAUGAAUGGCUAGACGAGGGCUUAACUGUCUCCCCCUUCCAGUCAGUGAAAUUGAUCUAUCCGUGCAGAAGCGGGUAUAAUUCUACAAGACGAGAAGACCCUUUGGAGCUUAAGGUACAAAAUUCACCCAUGUUAAACAACUCCGUAGAAAGCAAGAACUUUGUGGAUAUGAGACUUUACCUUCGGUUGGGGCGACCACGGAGGAAAAACAAGCCUCCGAGUGGACUGGGCCAAAAACCCCUAAAGCUAAAAGAGACAUCUUUAAGCCGCAGAACAUCUGACCAAUAAUGAUCCGGCUAAAAAGCCGAUCAACGGACCAAGUUACCCUAGGGAUAACAGCGCAAUCCUCUCCCAGAGCCCAUAUCGACGAGGGGGUUUACGACCUCGAUGUUGGAUCAGGACAUCCUGGUGGUGCAGCCGCUAUUAAGGGUUCGUUUGUUCAACGAUUAAAGUCCU